rnacentral:rRNA from 1 species
GACGAACGCUGGCGGCGUGCUUAACACAUGCAAGUCGAACGGUAAGGCCCUUCGGGGUACACGAGUGGCGAACGGGUGAGUAACACGUGGGUGAUCUGCCCUGCACUUUGGGAUAAGCCUGGGAAACUGGGUCUAAUACCGAAUACACCCUGCUGGUCGCAUGGCCUGGUGGGGGAAAGCUUUUGCGGUGUGGGAUGGGCCCGCGGCCUAUCAGCUUGUUGGUGGGGUGAUGGCCUACCAAGGCGACGACGGGUAGCCGGCCUGAGAGGGUGACCGGCCACACUGGGACUGGGGUACGGCCCAGACUCCUACGGGAGGCAGCAGUGGGGAAUAUUGCACAAUGGGCGCAAGCCUGAUGCAGCGACGCCGCGUGAGGGAUGACGGCCUUCGGGUUGUAAACCUCUUUCAAUAGGGACGAAGCGCAAGUGACGGUACCUAUAGAAGAAGGACCGGCCAACUACGUGCCAGCCGCCGCAGUAAUAC